GCGAGCAUCUGCCAGGAUGUUUUCAUUAAUCAAGAACGAAAGUUAGGGGAUCGAAGACGAUCAGAUACCGUCGUAGUCUUAACCAUAAACGAUGCCGACCAGCGAUUAGGAGACGUUGAAUACAAAACACCACCAUCGGUGCGGUCGUCCUUGGCAUUUGUCGUGGCGCAAGUCACGGCAGGUGUGAGGAUGGUUUAGCCUGAUGGAUUUCGGUGAAUGACUCCCCU
rnacentral:rRNA from 1 species